rnacentral:tRNA from 1 species
UCCAUGCUGGUUCAGAGGUUAAGACUCUGCACUUCAAAUGCAGGGGAUAUGGGUUCAAUCCCUGGGCAAGGAA